rnacentral:rRNA from 1 species
UACGUAGGCAGCGAGCGUUUGUUCGGAAUUACUGGGCGUAAAGAGUGUGUAGGUGGUGCUCUAAGUUCGGUGUGAAAUCUCCCGGCUUAACUGGGAGGGUGCGCCGAAAACUGGAGUGCUCGAGCGUGGGAGAGGAAAGCGGAAUUCCUGGUGUAGCGGUGAAAUGCGCAGAUAUCAGGGAGGAACACCCGUGGCGGAAAGCGGCUCUCUGGGACGGUAC